rnacentral:rRNA from 1 species
CACGUAGGGUUCGAGCGUUGUCCGGAAUUACUGGGCGUAAAGGGCUCGUAGGCGGCCAACUAAGUCGGAUGUGAAAUCCCCAAGCUUAACUUGGGAACUGCAUCCGAUACUGGAUGGCUUGAAUCCGGGAGAGGGAUGCAGAAUUCCAGGUGUAGCGGUGAAAUGCGUAGAUAUCUGGAGGAAUACCGGUGGCGAAGGCGGCAUCCUGGACCGGCAUUGACGCUGAGGAGCGAAAGCUAGGGGAGCAAACGGG